rnacentral:rRNA from 1 species
AGUGAACGCUGGCGGUAGGCCUAACACAUGCAAGUCGAGCGGCAGCACAGUAAGAGCUUGCUCUUACGGGUGGCGAGUGGCGGACGGGUGAGGAAUACAUCGGAAUCUACUUUUUCGUGGGGGAUAACGUAGGGAAACUUACGCUAAUACCGCAUACGACCUACGGGUGAAAGCAGGGGAUCUUCGGACCUUGCGCGAUUGAAUGAGCCGAUGUCGGAUUAGCUAGUUGGCGGGGUAAAGGCCCACCAAGGCGACGAUCCGUAGCUGGUCUGAGAAGAUGAUCAGCCAGACUGGAACUGAGACACGGUCCAGACUCCUACGGGAGGCAGCAGUGGGGAAUAUUGGACAAUGGGCGCAAGCCUGAUCCAGCCAUACCGCGUGGGUGAAGAAGGCCUUCGGGUUGUAAAGCCCUUUUGUUGGGAAAGAAAAGCAGCAGGUUAAUACCCCGCUGUUCUGACGGUACCCAAAGAAUAAGCACCGGCUAACUUCGUG